AAGGAAGGAAGGAAGGAAGGAAGGAAGGAAGGAAGGAAGGAAGGAAGGAGAAAGCAGGAAAGAAGGCAGGAUGGAUGGAUGGAUGGAUGGAUGGAAGGAAGGAAGGAAGGAAGGAAGGAGGAAAGAAGGCAGGAUGGAUGGAUGGAGGAGAACCUGCUCCCUCCCCCGAUCCAGCCCUGAGCAACCUGACACCCCCUACUCCCCCACCUCCGCUAGUCACGCAGAUCCUGGAGAACCGCCUGGCAGAGCAAAGAAAAUGGAGGGAAAGACAAUAUUCGGUUACAUCAAAAGGAGCUUCAGAGAAGACGCUGAGGAACUUCUAUGCAGGGGAGGAAAAUUUGCAAAUUAAGUAGACAAGCUGAAAAUUGCAUGAGACCCACUUCAAAAUCUCUUUAGAAAUUAUUGCGACCACAUCUGAGUGAGAAGGAAAUAGGCCGGGGUAAAGAAUGAGGAACAGUCCUCUCCUAUUAUCAGGAAGAAAAGGUGAAGACAACGGCUGCUUUAUGCUUGCACGAGAACAAAUAAAAUAUGAAAUAAAAAUACAGGUUGUGGGAUUAUCUGUAAAAAAAAAAAAGGGUAAAAUUAUCAGGGAAAUGGCACCUCUCCUAUCAAACGAUCUGUGGGCUUCGUCCAU